UAUAGAGAAAAAAAUGCAGAUUGUUUACAUUAAUUUUGUAAACUUAAAAACAAUUUUUAAUUAUACUUUUGAAUUCAAAGCGCUUACAAUUUCUCAGAUUUAUCCUAAACUCAUCCCUUACAAUUUUUCUCUCUUCCUUUCAAUCUAUUUUCUUUUUUUCUCAGUAACCUUAUGGUUUUUUUCUCCUUCUCUUUUGCUUUCUUUAUUCUCAGAAUCUCAGUAAUGGUCGCAACCUCGAGGGAAUGUCUUGAUAAGAUUCAAGAUACAUGUGAAGGAAGAUGACGCAUCAAUUAAUGCUAAUGGGGAUUUUAAUUCUCCUUCCAUUACGAAAUAUUAUUUAAGGAACAUUUGUUGGCAAUAUUUUUGGUUGAGUAUUUUUUUAUUAUUUUGUAUUGAACAAGUUAUAAUUUCAAAUUUUUAUUUUUAUGUUUGUGUUGCAAUUUUAGGAACUUAGAGUCUCAUCAUAUAUUGAUUAUGAGGUAAAUGGUGAAGCCACAACAAUUAAGGUAGUUUGAGCACCUUCAACAGGGUGACAUGACCGUUACCAGUAUGAGAUUCGAUUUGUGGACCUAGCUCGCCAUGCCAUUGUCUUGCUCCCUACUGAGAUGGAGAGAGUGACGAGAUUCAUUGAUGGGCUCACUUUCAGCAUCUGGUUAUAGAUGGCCAAGGAGACUAGAGAUGCUAUUUCUUUCUAGAGAGCUGUAAAGAUUACUAUAUACAUCAAGAUGGUUCAGGGUUGGGAGAGGGAGCCGAUGUAAUAAAAGGCCUCGUCAUUCUGGUAGUCUUAGUGGAGCCUCAUCUAGAGGCAGUGGUACUUUUGGUAGAGGUCAUCCUCCUAGGCCAUAUUAGUCAGCGCUUUAGGCAUCACUGUUGCUACCCAAUUUUUCCUAUAUUAUUUUUUCAAAA